GACAAACGCUGGCGGCAUGCCUAACACAUGCAAGUCGAACGGACAGAACAGGGAAGCUUUUCGGAGUGGAACUGGAAAGUUAGUGGCGGAUGGGUGAGUAACGCGUGGACAACCUACCUUGUAAAGGGGAAUAACCUCGAGAAAUCGAAGCUAAUACCCCAUAAUAACCUUGCUUCGCAUGAAGUAAGGAGGAAAGGCGGCCUUAGCGCUGUCGAUACAAGAUGGGUCCGCGUCUGAUUAGCUAGUUGGUGAGGUAAAGGCUCACCAAGGCGACGAUCAGUAGCCGGCCUGAGAGGGUGAACGGCCACAUUGGGACUGAGACACGGCCCAAACUCCUACGGGAGGCAGCAGUGGGGAAUCUUCCGCAAUGGGCGAGAGCCUGACGGAGCAAUGCCGCGUGAGUGAAGAAGGCCUUCGGGUUGUAAAACUCUGUCCUUAUCGAAGAGAGAGUGUUGUAGUAACUGACAAUACUAGGACGGUAGAUGAGGAGGAAGCCCCGGCUAACUAUGUG
rnacentral:rRNA from 1 species